GUUCUGAGGUGUUUCUGGAUUAAAGGGUAUCGUGAAGGACCUGGUUGGAGGCCCAACCUUCUGAGAUCUAUAACAGGGCUU